rnacentral:tRNA from 1 species
GCCUAGUUAGCUUAGCUGGUAGUGCGUCUGCCUUGUAAGCGCUACCGCGAGUUCGAUUCCCGCCCGAGGCG